CAGGAUGAACGCUAGCGGCAGGCUUACACAUGCAAGUCGAGGGGUAAGGUCCCGCUUGCGGGAUAACGACCGGCGCACGGGUGCGUAACGCGUAUGCAACCUGCCUCUGACCGGAGGAUAGCCUCGAGAAAUCGGGAUUAAUACUCCAUAACGUCUAACUACCGCAUGGUAGAAUGAUUAAAACUCCGGUGGUCAGAGAUGGGCAUGCGUGGCAUUAGCUAGUUGGUGAGGUAACGGCUCACCAAGGCAACGAUGUCUAGGGGGUCUGAGAGGACGAUCCCCCACACUGGUACUGAGACACGGACCAGACUCCUACGGGAGGCAGCAGUGAGGAAUAUUGGUCAAUGGGCGCAAGCCUGAACCAGCCAUGCCGCGUGCAGGAUGACGGCUCUAGAAGUUGUAAACUGCUUUUGUAUGGGAAUAAACUGUCCGGUUCUCCGGGCAUUGAAGGUACCAUACGAAUAAGGAUCGGCUAACUCCGUGCCAGCAGCCGCGGUAAUACGGAGGAUCCAAGCGUUAUCCGGAUUUAUUGGGUUUAAAGGGUGUGCAGGCGGAGUAAUAAGUCAGUGGUGAAAUCUUGCGGCUCAACCGUAAAAUUGCCAUUGAUACUGUUAUUCUUGAGUUCAGUUGAGGUGGGCGGAAUGAGUAAUGUAGCGGUGAAAUGCUUAGAUAUUACUCAGAACACCGAUUGCGUAGGCAGCUCGCUAAACUGUAACUGACGCUGAGGCACGAAAGCGUGGGGAGCGAACAGGAUUAGAUACCCUGGUAGUCCACGCCGUAAACUAUGAAUACUGGAUGUGUGCGAUACACUGUACGCGUCUGAGCGAAAGCAUUAAGUAUUCCACCUGGGGAGUACGUCCGCCAGGAUGAAACUCAAAGGAAUUGACGGGGGCCCGCACAAGCGGAGGAACAUGUGGUUUAAUUCGAUGAUACGCGAG
rnacentral:rRNA from 1 species